rnacentral:rRNA from 1 species
AGAGUUUCCUUCUGGCUCAGGAUGAACGCCGGCGGUGUGCCUAAUACAUGCAAGUCGUACGCACUGGCCCAACUGAUUGAUGGUGCUUGCACCUGAUUGACGUUGGAUCACCAGUGAGUGGCGGACGGGUGAGUAACACGUAGGUAACCUGCCCCGGAGCGGGGGAUAACAUUUGGAAACAGAUGCUAAUACCGCAUAACAACAAAAGCCACAUGGCUUUUGUUUGAAAGAUGGCUUUGGCUAUCACUCUGGGAUGGACCUGCGGUGCAUUAGCUAGUUGGUAAGGUAACGGCUUACCAAGGUGAUGAUGCAUAGCCGAGUUGAGAGACUGAUCGGCCACAAUGGAACUGAGACACGGUCCAUACUCCUACGGGAGGCAGCAGUAGGGAAUCUUCCACAAUGGGUGCAAGCCUGAUGGAGCAACACCGCGUGAGUGAAGAAGGGUUUCGGCUCGUAAAGCUCUGUUGUUGGAGAAGAACGUGCGUGAGAGUAACUGUUCACGCAGUGACGGUAUCCAACCAGAAAGUCACGGCUAACUACGUGCCAGCAGCCGCGGUAAUACGUAGGUGGCAAGCGUUAUCCGGAUUUAUUGGGCGUAAAGCGAGCGCAGGCGGUUGCUUAGGUCUGAUGUGAAAGCCUUCGGCUUAACCGAAGAAGUGCAUCGGAAACCGGGCGACUUGAGUGCAGAAGAGGACAGUGGAACUCCAUGUGUAGCGGUGGAAUGCGUAGAUAUAUGGAAGAACACCAGUGGCGAAGGCGGCUGUCUGGUCUGCAACUGACGCUGAGGCUCGAAAGCAUGGGUAGCGAACAGGAUUAGAUACCCUGGUAGUCCAUGCCGUAAACGAUGAGUGCUAGGUGUUGGAGGGUUUCCGCCCUUCAGUGCCGGAGCUAACGCAUUAAGCACUCCGCCUGGGGAGUACGACCGCAAGGUUGAAACUCAAAGGAAUUGACGGGGGCCCGCACAAGCGGUGGAGCAUGUGGUUUAAUUCGAAGCUACGCGAAGAACCUUACCAGGUCUUGACAUCUUGCGCUAACCUUAGAGAUAAGGCGUUCCCUUCGGGGACGCAAUGACAGGUGGUGCAUGGUCGUCGUCAGCUCGUGUCGUGAGAUGUUGGGUUAAGUCCCGCAACGAGUGCAACCCUUGUUACUAGUUGCCAGCAUUAAGUUGGGCACUCUAGUGAGACUGCCGGUGACAAACCGGAGGAAGGUGGGGACGACGUCAGAUCAUCAUGCCCCUUAUGACCUGGGCUACACACGUGCUACAAUGGACGGUACAACGAGUCGCAAGCUCGCGAGAGUAAGCUAAUCUCUUAAAGCCGUUCUCAGUUCGGACUGUAGGCUGCAACUCGCCUACACGAAGUCGGAAUCGCUAGUAAUCGCGGAUCAGCAUGCCGCGGUGAAUACGUUCCCGGGCCUUGCACUCACCGCCCGUCA